rnacentral:misc_RNA from 1 species
GAAAAAAAAAAAAAAAAAAAUCUGAUAAUCUAUUUAAGGAGAAAGGGAUGAGAUAUGCCUUACUUCUUCAAUACGCUAGUUACAUCCUUUCUGGAACUGAUUGGAACUGGAGAGGUAGAGAAACCAUUUUGCUUAUUUGAAACCAGAUGGUGAUCAACUUUCUUAUUUCUCUCUUCAUCCUCAUUUGACCCACCAGGGGAUGAUGAUCCGAAUAUUUGGACUGUCAGGCUUCCCACAAGCACAAGAGCAGCCCCAAUCCAACCAGCAAGACCCCACCUUUCACCAAGGAGAAACCACGCAAAACCAGCACCCCACACUGGUUCCAGCCCAUAAAUUAUUGCAGUUUCUGUCGCCGAUACAUCACACAUGGCAGCCAUCUCAAUCCAUAAGCAUAAUCCAGUUGAGAA